GAUGAACGCUGGCGGCGUGCCUAAUACAUGCAAGUCGAGCGAACAGACGAGGAGCUUGCUCCUCUGACGUUAGCGGCGGACGGGUGAGUAACACGUGGAUAACCUACCUAUAACACUGGGAUAACUUCGGGAAACCGGAGCUAAUACCGGAUAAUAUAUUGAACCGCAUGGUUCAAUAGUGAAAGACGGUUUUGCUGUCACUUAUAGAUGGAUCCGCGCCGCAUUAGCUAGUUGGUAAGGUAACGGCUUACCAGGGCGACGAUGCGUAGCCGACCUGAGAGGGUGAUCGGCCACACUGGAACUGAGACACGGUCCAGACUCCUACGGGAGGCAGCAGUAGGGAAUCUUCCGCAAUGGGCGAAAGCCUGACGGAGCAACGCCGCGUGAGUGAUGAAGGUCUUCGGAUCGUAAAACUCUGUUAUUAGGGAAGAACAAAUGUGUAAGUAACUAUGCACGUCUUGACGGUACCUAAUCAGAAAGCCACGGCUAACUACGUG
rnacentral:rRNA from 1 species